rnacentral:tRNA from 1 species
GCGGAUGUGGCGCAACCGGCAGACGCACCGGUCUCAGAAACCGGCAGGUGAGGGUUCGAAUCCCUCCAUCCGCA